rnacentral:lncRNA from 1 species
AACCCAAACCCUAGAACAGGGGAUCACCACUUUUAGACUUAGAGACUAGGCUUAGACGGCUAGGGUUAGGGUUCUUACCCAGUAUCUUGUAGUCCUUGCUUGUUCUAUUCAGUAAAGAUCUCUUCAAGUCUCUUUCUCUUUUACUACUCUAAAACCCUUACGAAAUACCUAUAAAUCUUCUAAUAAAAUCAUCUUAUCCACCGUUCAGUAAUACUCACAAAGAU